AUAGUUUCCGACGGAAGACGGUACCUGCAUAAGAAGCUCCGGCUAACUCCGUGCCAGCAGCCGCGGUAAGACGGAGGGAGCAAGCGUUGUUCGGAUUUACUGGGCGUAAAGGGCGUCUAGGCGGAUUGUCAAGUCAGGUGUGAAAUCCCUCGGCUCAACCGGGGAGCUGCACUUGAAACUGACGGUCUUGAGUACGGAAGAGGAAAGCGGAAUUCCUGGUGUAGCGGUGAAAUGCGUAGAUAUCAGGAAGAACACCGGUGGCGAAGGCGGCUUCCUGGUCCGUUACUGACGCUGAAGCGCGAAAGUGUGGGGAGCAAACAGGAUUAGAUACCCUGGUAGUCCACACUGUAAACGAUGAACGCUAGGUGCCGGG
rnacentral:rRNA from 1 species